UGGUGCGAUCAUACUAGCACUAAUGCACUGGAUCCCAUCAGAACUGCUCAGUUAAGCGUGCUUGGGCGAGAGUAGUACUAGGAUGGUGACCUUUUGGGAUAUCCUCGUGUUGCACCUU
rfam:Cicer arietinum chromosome Ca3, whole genome shotgun sequence.